rnacentral:rRNA from 1 species
GACUUGGUCGGGUGGUCCGCUUAACGGCGUGUUACUGCUUGGCUGGGUCUUGUCUCUUGGUGAACCGUGGUGCCCUUUAUUGGGUGCUUCGGGGAACCAGGACUUUUACCUUGAGAAAAUUAGAGUGUUCAAAGCAGGCAAAGCCUGAAUACAUUAGCAUGGAAUAAUAAAAUAGGACGUGUGGUUCUAUUUUGUUGGUUUCUAGAAUCGCCGUA